CAAGUCAUUCGUGUGAUCGCGGCAACGCAUGAAAAGGCGUUGAUGAGGAAAGUCCGAGCAUCACAGGGCAGGACGCCGGAGAAAUCCCGGUGAAGGCGACUUUAAGGAAAGUGCAACAGAAAUAUACCGCCGUAAGGUAAGGUUGAAAAGGCGUGGUAAGAGCACACCGUGUCUGCGGUAACGCGGAUAGCCAUGUAAACCCCGUCCGAUGCAAGAUUGACGUAAAGGUACAUUGGGCUGCCCGUCCGUAUUUUUACAAUAAAACAUCGCUUGAGCCGUGCGGAGACGUACGGUCUAGAUAAAUGAUCACACUCGACAGAACUCGGCUUACAGAUUGACUUGGGCG
rnacentral:RNase_P_RNA from 1 species